GGGCCCGCACAAGCGGUGGAGCAUGUGGUUUAAUUCGAUGAUACGCGAGGAACCUUACCAGGGCUUAAAUGGGAGAUGACAGGGGCAGAGACGCCCUUUUCUUCGGACAUCUUUCAAGGUGCUGCAUGGUUGUCGUCAGCUCGUGCCGUGAGGUGUCAGGUUAAGUCCUAUAACGAGCGCAACCCCUACCGUUAGUUGCCAGCGAUUCAAGUCGGGGACUCUAACGGGACUGCCGGUGCAAACCGCGAGGAAGGUGGGGACGACGUCAAAUCAUCACGGCCCUUACGUCCUGGGCUACACACGUGCUACAAUGGUCGGUACAGAGGGAAGCUACCCCGCAAGGGGAUGCGGAUCUAUAAAACCUAUCUCAGUUCGGAUCGGAGUCUGCAACUCGACUCCGUG
rnacentral:rRNA from 1 species